CGGCGGGCGCCAGCUGAGGCGGAGGGGACACUGCUGCCGCUUCGCCUCACCCCGCUGAGGGGACGGGGCUUCUUCUCCAACCGCUGCCGACGGGGAGGCCGCGCUACCGGCUGUGCUGAGGAGUCGGGGCUCGCCUCCCGUUCCCCCGGCAGCAGGGGCCCGCCUUAACCUUCUCCGCCCUCCGGCUGGCUGAGGGGAGCUCGCCCGCCUCAUCGCUGAGGGAAAGCGGAGCCCCCUUCUUCCCGCCCCGUGCUUCUUUAACACCGCAGGGAGAGACCUUCCUUCUCCCAACCCAUUCCUAGGAGGGGACAGGGAUCCCCGUGCCCUCACCCCUGUCCAGCCGGGCUCCCUGCCCUUUGCUCCCGUCAAGCGGAGGGUGAGUCAGGCGCCUCGCAGGCUCCCAGCAGGUGGGGACAGAAAGGGCAAGGGAAAGGGUGGACAUUUCCCCUUCCUCCUCCUGCUUGCUUUCUCUCCAUAGGUGGUGGGGCUGGACCGGGGUGAACUCCUCCGUCCUGUCAGCCUCUCGCCAUGGCUGUCGGUGGGGCUGAAAUCUCGCUCCUGUUCAUGACCAGCACCGUGGUGGCCGUGGGGCUGUGCAAGAGGCUCAUCCGCCGCCGGCUUUACUUAGACCAUCGCCUUUUUUCUUUCCUCAUGGAGAUGUUGAGCACCUUCCAGAUCUGUGCCUGCACUAACGAGCUCUUCCUGCUCGCCAGUGUGGAGCCGAAGCCUCACGUCGCCCUCAGUCUCACCUAUGGUUUCACCGUCCUGCACGGCCUGACUCUGAGCGGCAGCACAUGCAAUCCCUGCGGCACUUUGCAGUCCAUGUGGAGCGAUGGGAUAUCGCUCAAGACCGGUGGACUCAAGAUCGCCGCUCAGUUCGUGGCUGCAGUGCUUGCCAGGGUGUUUAUGCGUUGUAUCUGGAGCCUGGGGAUAGCAGAGACCCAUUUUGGAGCACUCUCACAGGGCUGCAGCAACCCCAUGCAGACUACAGUGAUGCAGGCGUUCUGCAUAGAAUUGCUCUUUUCUGCCGUUUUCCAGCUGACCUUCCUGCGAGUGGAAAGAGUUAAUCCCAAGUACAGAGUGCAUCUGAUGGCUCUUCUCAUCACCAUGCUCGUGUAUGCAGGUGGAAAUCUCACAGGAGCAAUAUUUAACCCAGCGUUGGCUUUUUCAUUACAUCCACACUGUUUCUAUGAGAAAUUUCUGAGUUACUCACUAGUCUAUUGGGUAGCACCAUCCUUGGGUACAAUACUUGUGGCUUUUAUAUGGGGUGAAAUCCUGCCCCGGAUCUCUUGAGCCGUCAGAUCCUCAUAUCAAGCAGUGACAUUGAAAUACACCUUCAACGUCUGCAGAUGUGAAGCUGUCAGAGAAGUGCUGACCUCGACUUCCACACCACCUUCCAGUUGUAUUUCCAGCCUUCACGUUUGAAAUCUUUGACUUCCAACUUUAUAUUCAAACACUUCUUUAGUAAUAGCACACUGGGAUCUUGAGAUACCUGCCACCAUUUCCAGUUAACCCGUAGGAAUGUGAAGGACAGUGAAAACACUGCAACUUUUGUCACUUUAGCCAGAAGUGCCAUUUGCUGCCCUUUAUUACAACAGUUUGCAAAGCUCAUUUUAGAGACAUACUCAGUCCUUGUAAUGACUCUGUUGGAUUUCUUCCCAUAGAAGGCACCUGCAUAAAAAAAGGAGCUGAAGAUUUCAUUCUUCUGUUGACCUCCUCAUACUCCUGCUUGCAACACAGGAGAGGAAGAAAGGCUCCACAGCUCUAUUCUAGAGACACCUUACAACAAACUCAACAGUCUGUAGGACCAGCAUUGUUUUACUAAUAGCUGAGUGCAGGUGACCCAGGAAGUGGCUUCACUGGAGUCAAAUGAGCACAAAUGCUCUAGAAGAACGUGCCAAACCCAAGGGACAUGAGCUAAGAGUCACCAGUUGCUGGCUGAAGGAAAGGACUGAGAGCUGCAGCCCCGACGUGGUUGUGAGAUACAAAAACAUCUUAGUUUAUUUCACAACAUUGUUAACAUGUGAUACAAAGACACAAAACAGUUCCCUCUUUCAGGACUUUACACACUUUGAGUCCAUCUCCUCUCCCACUCAGACUCUGCUCUCAGACAAAUGAAAGGGACAGCACUGAACUGACCCCGGUCACUUGAGGGGCGUUACGUGUAGCUUUGCUUUCAAUCCCCGCCUGACCCUAUGUCCUUUUAGUCCAGCUUUGUAACAUUUCUAGUCCCAUUUUCCCCACCUCAAUGAACAGGUACAAAAAUACAGGGAAUUCCAGGACAAUCUAAAAUUGUUCUACUUACAGUUGGAUUUCUCAAGUCCCAGAACUCCUACAAAGGCUUCUUUGAAUGCCCCCUGAUUAGCCCCGUUCAAGUGUUAGAUGCAAAGAGGUUUUAUUGGGUUGGUUGGUUGGUUCUGGUUGUUGAAAUAACCCCAUAGUGGUCACAAAUGUCAAACCCUGGUUUAAACAUCUAUAAAAGCAUUUUUAGACCUUAGAUGUCUUAAGCUUAGGUCAUUAAAAGAAAGGUUAACUCCUGAUAGUCACUGCCAUGCCUUCAGUUUUACAGCUUAUUCUGCAAGUGCCACAAGAGGAAUCUGAAAGAUACAAGACACCAAGUUUACAUGAUUAAAAAUAAAGGUUAUUUAUCUUUACACA